AUGAAUGCGCCGGGACCCUCCCCGUGCGAGGAGCUUUGGCUGUGGCGCACCGGCCUCCCACCAAAGAGCACCGGGACGUGUCUGCUGCGAUUCAACCCAUGUAUCAAUGUGAUGAAAAGGGCCCCUUCGGUCAAGAAGUGGUUUUCCGUCACGCUCAAGCAUUUACCAACCUGGUUGCGGUGUGACCUCUGCAGGACGCAGCUUAAGAGCUGGCUGAUACGGGGCUGACCAGAUAUCGGAGAGAGCAAGCAGCAUGAUGAAAGGAACCAGGGAACAGAACCUUCUUCCAUGCCGCAACUUACAUAAGAAGUUUUAACAAUUCACUUCUCCUUCAACAAGAGCAGCACAAGCCCAACUAGCGGAGUAAAGAAAAUACCAGCGGGAGAGGUGAAGUUUGAUGUGUCUGUACCAAUUGUCAUUUUAAGAUACGGAUAUAGUGAUAGAGCCUUAAGAGAAAUAAGGAGCAUGUUUAAGGAACAGUGGCAAGAUACAUAGGUGUUUGGGAGACUUUGUGGUGAUUAGGUUUCUUAUUGCAGGAAGUAGUUUGAUAGGUGUCUCUUCCUUAAGCCCAGACUGGACCAUUAUCUCUGCAUGGGGCUAGCGAAGACAGCUUUUGGAUAUGUCAGCUUUCACAAAAUGUAACAUGAAAGUUUUAUUUACUUCUAGUCACUUUGUGUGAUACCUGCAGCACAAGUGGAAGUGCUCAGGCUAAACUAUGAUUGAGUACCAGUUUCUCUCAACCUUUCUUUUCCCUUGUGUUCAAGACUGUUUUUCCUAAAAUGUGAUGUAGCGUUGCUGUAGUGCCAUACUUUACCCUGGAACUGGAUGCAUUUUCAUGAUGAAAUUUAUUUGAUACAUUGGAGGACUUCAGGCUCAUUAGCCUAAUGUAUGCUAAUGUUACAAGACAACCCUGAGAAGCUCAGAAAGAAUGUUUGAAGUAGGUAGAUUUGGAUAACUUCUAUCUUAGGUAGAAUUUGCUUAGC
rnacentral:lncRNA from 1 species